GACGAACGCUGGCGGCGUGCUUAACACAUGCAAGUCGAACGGAAAGGCCCUGCUUGCAGGGUGCUCGAGUGGCGAACGGGUGAGUAACACGUGGGUGAUCUGCCCCUUACUUUGGGAUAAGCCUGGGAAACUGGGUCUAAUACUGGAUAGGACCAUGCUGUAGGUGGUGUGGUGGAAAGAUUAGUUUCGGUAAGGGAUGAGCUCGCGGCCUAUCAGCUUGUUGGUGGGGUAAUGGCCUACCAAGGCGUCGACGGGUAGCCGGCCUGAGAGGGUGGACGGCCACAUUGGGACUGAGAUACGGCCCAGACUCCUACGGGAGGCAGCAGUGGGGAAUAAUGCACAAUGGGCGCAAGCCUGAUGCAGCGACGCCGCGUGGGGGAUGACGGCCUUCGGGUUGUAAACUCCUUUCAGCCAUGACGAAGCCCUUGUGGUGACGGUAGUGGCAGAAGAAGCACCGGCUAACUACGUG
rnacentral:rRNA from 1 species